UACGGGGGGGGCAAGCGUUGUUCGGAAUUACUGGGCGUAAAGGGUGCGUAGGCGGCUUUCUAAGUUGGAUGUGGAAACUAUGGGCUCAACCCAUAGCCUGCAUCCAAAACUGGAGAGCUUGGGUUCUGGAGGGGAAAGCGGAAUUCCUGGUGUAGCGGUGAAAUGCGUAGAUAUCAGGAGGAACACCGGUGGCGAAGGCGGCUUUCUGGACAGAUACCGACGCUGAGGCACGAAAGCUAGGGGAGCAAACAGG
rnacentral:rRNA from 1 species